rnacentral:rRNA from 1 species
AUUGAACGCUGGCGGCAUGCCUUACACAUGCAAGUCGAACGGUAACAGGUCUUCGGAUGCUGACGAGUGGCGAACGGGUGAGUAAUACAUCGGAACGUGCCCUAUCGUGGGGGAUAACGAGGCGAAAGCUUUGCUAAUACCGCAUACGAUCUACGGAUGAAAGCGGGGGAUCUUCGGACCUCGCGCGGACGGAGCGGCCGAUGGCAGAUUAGGUAGUUGGUGGGAUAAAAGCUUACCAAGCCGACGAUCUGUAGCUGGUCUGAGAGGAUGAUCAGCCACACUGGGACUGAGACACGGCCCAGACUCCUACGGGAGGCAGCAGUGGGGAAUUUUGGACAAUGGGCGAAAGCCUGAUCCAGCCAUGCCGCGUGCAGGAUGAAGGCCUUCGGGUUGUAAACUGCUUUUGUACGGAACGAAAAGCCUCUUUCUAAUAAAGAGGGGUCAUGACGGUACCGUAAGAAUAAGCACCGGCUAACUACGUG